AAGGAAAACUUGAAUCAGUUUCUUAAUUAAAUAAAAUAAGGAGCAGCUGCCACUCUUAAAUGUCAUAAAGGAAAAAUUUCUUUCUUCUCCAUGUAGGAAGUCUCUUAAGUACUCAUCUUUCCUCUAAUCCCCCUUUCCUGUAAUUGAUC